AACGCUAGCUACAGGCUUAACACAUGCAAGUCGAGGGGCAGCAUGGUCUUAGCUUGCUAAGGCCGAUGGCGACCGGCGCACGGGUGAGUAACACGUAUCCAACCUGCCGUCUACUCUUGGACAGCCUUCUGAAAGGAAGAUUAGUACGAGAUGGCAUCAUGAGUCCGCAUGUUCACAUGAUUAAAGGUAUUCCGGUAGACGAUGGGGAUGCGUUCCAUUAGAUAGUAGGCGGGGUAACGGCCCACCUAGUCUUCGAUGGAUAGGGGUUCUGAGAGGAAGGUCCCCCACAUUGGAACUGAGACACGGUCCAAACUCCUACGGGAGGCAGCAGUGAGGAAUAUUGGUCAAUGGGCGAGAGCCUGAACCAGCCAAGUAGCGUGAAGGAUGACUGCCCUAUGGGUUGUAAACUUCUUUUAUAAAGGAAUAAAGUCGGGUAUGGAUACCCGUUUGCAUGUACUUUAUGAAUAAGGAUCGGCUAACUCCGUGCCAGCAGCCGCGGUAAUACGGAGGAUCCGAGCGUUAUCCGGAUUUAUUGGGUUUAAAGGGAGCGUAGAUGGAUGUUUAAGUCAGUUGUGAAAGUUUGCGGCUCAACCGUAAAAUUGCAGUUGAUACUGGAUAUCUUGAGUGCAGUUGAGGCAGGCGGAAUUCGUGGUGUAGCGGUGAAAUGCUUAGAUAUCACGAAGAACUCCGAUUG
rnacentral:rRNA from 1 species